GAUGUAUACUCUUCCUUUAACGGGGCCAUUAAAUGGACACAUGUAAAUAACAUCCUUGUCUGUAACUCUAGUCUCUCCUGGCAGACGGGGUAUUUCUUCACUUUUUUCCCAGUUAGCUCCAUCUUUUAGAGUUCUUUUAAUUGAGGAGCUCUCCAAGGAGUGUGAAUUAUAUUUAGGUGCUGAUGAUGAGGCCAUACUGAGUAUCACGGCGCUGCUGCUGCCGCCGCCGUCGCCGUCGC
rnacentral:lncRNA from 1 species